ensembl:lncRNA
GAUGAAUUGAGGGUGAGCAAAUUUUCAGCAAAUCUUCAUUUUUGGGUGAAUGAUUGCUUUAAACUAGCUUCACCUGGAUUUUGCAGCAGGUGUGUGUAACGUUUGAAAAACAUUUUCUAAAUGUAGAUUUGGUGAAGUAUUUGUUUCUCUCACACAUCCAGAGUCUGAGCGUUCACGUGGCGGCAUUUGCAGUGGUGUGUGCGGUGGUGUGUGUUUGCGUGCCUCUGCUGCUGUGUUUGCCGUGUUUGCCGGUGGUUCGGCGAGGAAAAACGCCUCUCGCACUCUUCAUCUGGUCCAUGCUCCUCACCAUCGCCUUUGUCUUCAUCUUCACCGGAGGCGUCGUCACGGCCUGGGAGCAGGUCGGGUUCUUCCUCUUUCUGUCGCU